CACGUAGUUAGCCGGCGCUUCUUCUGCAGGUACCGUCACUUGCGCUUCUUCCCUACUGAAAGAGGUUUACAACCCGAAGGCCGUCAUCCCUCACGCGGCGUCGCUGCAUCAGGCUUGCGCCCAUUGUGCAAUAUUCCCCACUGCUGCCCUCCCGUAGGAGUCUGGGCCGUGUCUCAGUCCCAGUGUGGCCGGUCGCCCUCUCAGGCCGGCUACCCGUCGUCGCCUUGGUGAGCCGUUACCUCACCAACAAGCUGAUAGGCCGCGGGCUCAUCCUGCACCGCCGGAGCUUUCCACACAGAGGAGAUGCCUCCCUGUGUCGUAUCCGGUAUUAGACCCCGUUUCCAGGGCUUGUCCCAGAGUGCAGGGCAGAUUGCCCACGUGUUACUCACCCGUUCGCCACUAAUCCACCCCCGAAGGGGCUUCAUCGUUCGACUUGCAUGUGUUAAGCACGCCGCCAGCGUUCGUCCUCGUAGCCACGGAGUCAACUAC
rnacentral:rRNA from 1 species